rnacentral:rRNA from 1 species
CUACGUGCCAGCAGCCGCGGUAAUACGGAAGGUUCGGGCGUUAUCCGGAUUUAUUGGGUUUAAAGGGAGCGUAGGCCGGAGAUUAAGUGUGUUGUGAAAUGUAGACGCUCAACGUCUGACUUGCAGCGCAUACUGGUUUCCUUGAGUACGCACAACGUUGGCGGAAUUCGUCGUGUAGCGGUGAAAUGCUUAGAUAUGACGAAGAACUCCGAUUGCGAAGGCAGCUGACGGGAGCGCAACUGACGCUGAAGCUCGAAGGUGCGGGUAUCGAACAGGAUUAGAUACCCUGGUAGUCCGCACAGUAAACGAUGGAUGCCCGCUGUUGGUACUUGGUAUCAGCGGCUAAGCGAAAGCAUUAAGCAUCCCACCUGGGGAGUACGCCGGCAACGGUGAAACUCAAAGGAAUUGACGGGGGCCCGCACAAGCGGAGGAACAUGUGGUUUAAUUCGAUGAUACGCGAGGAACCUUACCCGGGCUUGAA